rnacentral:rRNA from 1 species
GGAAUUUUGGACAAUGGGCGCAAGCCUGAUCCAGCAAUGCCGCGUGAGUGAAGAAGGCCUUCGGGUUGUAAAGCUCUUUUGUCAGGGAAGAAACGGGCCUUUCUAAUACAGGGGCCUAAUGACGGUACCUGAAGAAUAAGCACCGGCUAACUACGUGCCAGCAGCCGCGGUAAUACGUAGGGUGCAAGCGUUAAUCGGAAUUACUGGGCGUAAAGGGUGCGCAGGCGGUUUUGUAAGACUGUCGUGAAAUCCCCGGGCUCAACCUGGGAAUGGCGAUGGUGACUGCAAGGCUAGAGUUUGGCAGAGGGGGGUAGAAUUCCACGUGUAGCAGUGAAAUGCGUAGAUAUGUGGAGGAACACCGAUGGCGAAGGCAGCCCCCUGGGUCAAAACUGACGCUCAUGCACGAAAGCGUGGGGAGCAAACAGGAUUAGAUACCCCAG